UCCACAUGGAAAUAUUUGCUAAAGAAUUAUCGCAGAUAGAUGGGCAUGCGUUCCAUUAGAUAGUGGGUGAGGUAACGGCUCACCAAGUCCACGAUGGAUAGGGGUUCUGAGAGGAAGGUCCCCCACACUGGUACUGAGACACGGACCAGACUCCUACGGGAGGCAGCAGUGAGGAAUAUUGGUCAAUGGGCGAGAGCCUGAACCAGCCAAGUCGCGUGAAGGAUGAAGGAUCUAUGGUUUGUAAACUUCUUUUAUAUGGGAAUAAAGUGAGGAACGUGUUCCUUUUUGUAUGUACCAUAUGAAUAAGCAUCGGCUAACUCCGUGCCAGCAGCCGCGGUAAUACGGAGGAUGCGAGCGUUAUCCGGAUUUAUUGGGUUUAAAGGGUGCGUAGGUGGUUAAUUAAGUCAGCGGUGAAAGUUUGUGGCUCAACCAUAAAAUUGCCGUUGAAACUGGUUGACUUGAGUAUAUUUGAGGUAGGCGGAAUGCGUGGUGUAGCGGUGAAAUGCAUAGAUAUCACGCAGAACUCCGAUUGCGAAGGCAGCUUACUAAACUAUAACUGACACUGAAGCACGAAAGCGUGGGGAUCAA
rnacentral:rRNA from 1 species